rnacentral:rRNA from 1 species
UGGGGAAUAUUGCACAAUGGGCGCAAGCCUGAUGCAGCGACGCCGCGUGAGGGAUGACGGCCUUCGGGUUGUAAACCUCUUUCAGCAGGGAAGAAGCACAAGUGACGGUACCUGCAGAAGAAGCGCCGGCUAACUACGUGCCAGCAGCCGCGGUAAUACGUAGGGCGCAAGCGUUGUCCGGAAUUAUUGGGCGUAAAGAGCUCGUAGGCGGUUUGUCGCGUCUGCUGUGAAAACGCGAGGCUCAACCUCGCGCCUGCAGUGGGUACGGGCAGACUAGAGUGCGGUAGGGGAGACUGGAAUUCCUGGUGUAGCGGUGGAAUGCGCAGAUAUCAGGAGGAACACCGGUGGCGAAGGCGGGUCUCUGGGCCGUAACUGACGCUGAGGAGCGAAAGCAUGGGGAGCGAACA